AAAAAAAUAAUAUAAAAUGUUAACGUGACUUAACCGUGACCACACAAAGGAAGGCAUGAAAAACUCUGUUUCUGGAAAAAUGGAGGGUAAACAAUCCUUGUCCUCUAAAAAGUGGACUACCUAUAUUACCCUCAGUUAUUUUAGAAAAUGACGACAUAUAUCUUGUCUUUCUCCUUCCUCUCGUUCCGUCGUUCGUCUCUCCCAUCUUCUCCCGUCGGUCUCUCGCUCCAGUUGUCCUUGGGAGACAAGAUUUUCCAACAGCUUUUUCUGUAGUCGCUGGAGAAGCAAUAUUAGAAUUAUCAAAGUUUUUAAGUGAGACAUCCAUAUUCUAUUUAAGACUAACGUUGUGAGAAGUUUGAACGAUUUAAAUUCAUCUUCAAAAGCAAGGGUCCUUAGCGUCCAACAACAUGAGUAAAGCUGAAGCUUCGCUUUAUAUUGUGGUUAUUUUGGUCUUCUGAGAGUCACUGGUGUUUUGAGUGGUUUUUGAAAUAGAGGAAACCAUUCUCAACCACUGCAUUUUGUAAUUAUGAAGGUGGUCUUGGUGUCAAAGAACUUUAAAAUCACUAUGCUGUACAGUCAACAGUGAUUAAAACGGUACAUGAAUUGUUUGAACAACUGAAUACGUUUCUAACUUUCUGAGACAAAGAUGGAAGAAUUCUCCUUUUUUUAAUUCACUUACUUGAUAGAUCCUUUUUUCUGUUGACUUCGAAUGUACAUGAAUGAAAAAUCAUGGAUAUUAUAUAUGAUUAGCGGUACCAUUAAACUGGAAAUUCUCACUUUGUAGAGAAAAAUGGUCCUGAUAAAGUGAUGAUUUUGUUUGAGAUCUAUGCCGGCCUGCAGCGCUGUGUGAGUCUUCUAAUUUAAGAGAAGAACAAGAAAACCAAAACCAAUAAAAGGAAACGAAGGAUAAGAUUAUGCAUCUUUGUUUCAAAUUAGUUGGGUGAAUACCAGUAAAUUUAUUUGUUCUGUGCGUUCCAUACUUCAAUUCAGUCAUUACGAUAUUCUGUUAUAUAUCAGGUUUAUCACAGUUCAGUACUAGUCUAAGGGUAACCUCUAUCAAUUUCCUUUUGCUACUACAACAGACACACGCACACACACAUUGUAUGUCAUAUUUCCUGCCUAAAAAUUCCAAUGAAGUUACUGACUAUGCAAAUAAAUUGGCCAACAAAUAAAUUGCUUUAAUGUCAUUUUAUAUUGUACAUUAUCAUUUUAUUAUCUGAAUGAAUGCUUUGUUGGUCUAAGCCCCUUCCCACCAGUUGCAGUUGCCAGCUCUUUCCGAGUUAGUUAUUGCCACAAUUCCGUAUAAAUUAGUGUUGUCCUAGAUUAGCGGAUGUAUUGCAGCAAGAUAUGAUAUUAAUCUAUUGCAAGGUGACGGAGGCAAUAAGUUGAAGAUUGCAACUACAGGUUAAUUGUUCUUCUGGGUCCUUUUCUCCUUUUUAUUUCUCUAUGUUUUUUCUUUCAUCUGAAU